ensembl:lncRNA
CGACGAAGUCAUUCACCACAUCUUUGACCAGGUGUCCAACUAUCGCAUACGCCACUGCCACUACUACCAGCGCUGCCAUGACCAGAUAGAGCACCGCUUUGGGAAGAGGCAUGGGAUCUCUCUCCGGUGUCCGAUAGUCCGUGUACAGCAGGUCACUCUCCGAGUACGAGUACUGAAAGACGUGCUCCAUGCCCGAGGUAUGGUUGGAGUCGAUAGGGGGAUUACUCGCGCUCAUGGCGCCGUCCGGCUGCAAGGAUGUCACCACAGUGGUCGUCACAGCCUCCGCCUUGUCGAUGUUGACCAUCGACAAAGCGGAGGCUGUAGUUUUAUUCAUCAAAGGCAAUAUCUGAGACAGAAAGUAGCUCCAGUCCUUUAUGGCACUCGUAUUGCAUGAAAACAUCGUUUCCACCGUCAUACCACACCACAAGAGGGUCACCAAGGCGCAAAAAAUCCACUGAACACGGACCGAUCCAGUUUCCCUUUAAAGUAACGUUUGUAUAUAUAUUUUUUUAAUUCCAACAGGUACCCUCAGAUGCCAAAGUCUCACUCCGACAGUAGCUCAUCGGUGCCUUUGAAAACUUGCCCCGCUCUCAAUGAUGAAAGGCAAAACGCGUCACCGUAGCCUUACCGCGCGGCUAUUACGCACGAAAGAAGGAAUUUAGUGCAUCCGAUCUUUGGUUUAUUUGCUAAAGUAAAACAAAAAGAGUGCAGUAGCAGAGCGCACCAGCCUGCAGAGUCAUCGUCAAGUAAAGGAACAGAGAGUGUCCGCAGUCAGCAAUCCACGUCCCUGUGCCUCUCACGUGCGCAGAUGGUGACAGUUACACACUAAAAGCCCGUCCUGCACCUGCGUUAUGUACGGCAAGGACGACUGCACGGUGCCAGCAGGACACUUCUUCACCUCUCUCGGAUCUGAAAUAAACAGUAGCCCUACGGCUGGUGUCAGAGCACUUGUCCGUUCUUCCUCCAGACUCCGGAUGGAGCGAUUCUCUACAGAAGCCACAACUAGAAGUCCUGCACUCUCAAAGACUGAAUGAACCAGCAUUGCAGCCAUGGGUCACUGUGAGCAUUACAGAGAGGUUGAAGCCGCCCACUGCACCUGUAUGGCCGGAGUCGCAGAGACCUGCAGCCAUGUCGCUGCUCUUCUGUAGAAGCAACAGUGCGGAUCCAUGGCACAAGGACUGUUACAGAUGAACCUGCAUACUGGGUUGUGCUGGGUAACGUGACCAAGAUACAGCCAGAGGUUGGCCAUAAGAUGGACUUCUCCUCUUCAGCUGCCCAAAAAAAGGCUCUUGAUCAAAACAUAAACACACCAUCCAUAUUGAAACGUCAAAGGAGCCGUCCUCAAAAAAGAAAAAUCCCACCUUCUACUGUGGAGGAGUUGUCACUGCUAUAAUGCCAUAAUGUUUUAUCUAGGGGUCUAGAUUUAUGCCUGUUGUGCACUGCCAUGUAAAUAAUUUGCAUUUACUGAAUAUGUACUGACUGAGUCCCACUGUUCAAAAGUUGAAUAAAGAAACAAACUAA